UACGUAGGGCGCAAGCGUUAUCCGGAAUUAUUGGGCGUAAAGAGCUCGUAGGCGGUUUGUCGCGUCUGCUGUGAAAACUGGAGGCUCAACCUCCAGCCUGCAGUGGGUACGGGCAGACUAGAGUGCGGUAGGGGAGAUUGGAAUUCCUGGUGUAGCGGUGGAAUGCGCAGAUAUCAGGAGGAACACCGAUGGCGAAGGCAGAUCUCUGGGCCGUAACUGACGCUGAGGAGCGAAAGGGUGGGGAGCAAACAGG
rnacentral:rRNA from 1 species